AGAAAAUGUAGAAUUAAAACUCGCAGUACAUUCAUUUGUACUUGGUACUUGGCACUUGGCUACAGUAGUAAAGUAUUUUUCAAAUCAAUGUUAGUUGUUUCAGUAGCUGUUUUAAAAUUCCAGUACCGUAGAACCUAGGAUUUAACAAUGGAAUAUUCAUUAUAAAAGACAAAAUCACGCAUAUUCCAUCAAAUUUGGAAUCUGCAAUGAUAAUGACACUUGCUGCUGGCCUAGCUAUUUCCCCAUGUGAGAUGCUUGUCUUGGCUGAGCCGAAACUGAGUGCACCCGUGGCACCCACCACCAGGUAAUACCAGAUAUCCACUGGAGCCAUGGUUGAUGACACUAGUUAGAAAUCAAUGUGUGGUUGCUGAAGAGAACUACAACACAGCCAUGUCCCUGACCUGUAUUGUCAUUGAGAGGACCUUUGGCCUCUGAAGAGUUGUUUUAGGUGCCUGGAUGAGUUUGGGGGUGUCCUUCAGUACAACCAAAUUAUUGAUGUUACAUUUUGCACUGACAUGAUCAUGCACCAUUCUGAAGGUGACGUGACUCAUGCUGUCACUGCAGCUCCCAAUUCCAGUCCUACUAUGGCUAAUGU